UACAGAGGUCUCAAGCGUUGUUCGGAUUCAUUGGGCGUAAAGAGCUCGUAGGCGGUCAGUCGCGUCUGCUGUGAAAACUCGGGGCUUAACUCCGGAUCUGCGGUGGGUACGGGCAGACUAGAGUGUGGUAGGGGAGACUGGAAUUCCUGGUGUAGCGGUGAAAUGCGCAGAUAUCAGGAGGAACACCGAUGGCGAAGGCAGGUCUCUGGGC
rnacentral:rRNA from 1 species